CCCGUUUGUUAGCGUGAGCUAUUCUGCUGUUUUUCAUCAUUUCACAGGUGAAAUAAAAUCACAUUUACUUCCUGUAGGAGUGAUCGUGUCCAGCCUGACUGAGACCAUGUGCUCCAUCCUGCACAGCUUUUAUACACUGACAGUAACACAAAACUCCAAAGUCAUCAUUUGAGGAGCUUCUUAAGAGUUUCUGUGAGUUUAGUGAAGUCAGCCUCUCAACAAUAAGUGUGUGUGUGUUGAUUAUCUAAUGUUCAGAGAGGACUGCACUGAUGUAGCAUCCAGACAUUAUCCCCAUGAUGCUGACGUCCUCUGGUGGGACGAGCUCACACGUU
ensembl:lncRNA